CGAGGCUUUGCGGUCUCUGCCUCCGUGUGAAUGUUGGCUGUCUUCCAUCCCUCUCUACCGGCCACGCCAGGAACCUCCGCCACAGGAAUUUCAAGAGCCGGUGGGGAAGAGGAGCUAGCUAGCUUACAUGGCUGCCGGUGGAAAAUGGAGCUGGAGCGCCACCAGCUGGACAAAAUUGCUCGGUGACAGGUAGAGACAUGGGCGGAUUACAAGACAGAGGGUCCCUGGGCACAGAUGUGAAAAAGGCCCCCCACCUCUCCAAAAU